rnacentral:rRNA from 1 species
AGUGAACGCUGGCGGUAGGCCUAACACAUGCAAGUCGAACGGCAGCACAGAGGAGCUUGCUCCUUGGGUGGCGAGUGGCGGACGGGUGAGGAAUACAUCGGAAUCUACUCUGUCGUGGGGGAUAACGUAGGGAAACUUACGCUAAUACCGCAUACGACCUACGGGUGAAAGCAGGGGAUCUUCGGACCUUGCGCGAUUGAGUGAGCCGAUGUCGGAUUAGCUAGUUGGCGGGGUAAAGGCCCACCAAGGCGACGAUCCGUAGCUGGUCUGAGAGGAUGAUCAGCCACACUGGAACUGAGACACGGUCCAGACUCCUACGGGAGGCAGCAGUGGGGAAUAUUGGACAAUGGGCGCAAGCCUGAUCCAGCCAUACCGCGCGGGUGAAGAAGGCCUUCGGGUUGAAAAGCCCUUUUGUUGGGAAAGAAAUCCAUCUGGUUAAUACCCGGGUGGGAUGACGGUACCCAAAGAAUAAGCACCGGCUAACUUCGUGCCAGCCGCCGCCGUAA